UAACGGCUCACCAAGGCGAUGAUCGAUAGCUGGUCUGAGAGGAUGAUCAGCCACAUUGCGACUGAGACACCGCCCAUACUCCUACGGGAGGCAGCAGUGGGGAAUAUUGGACAAUGGGCGAAAGCCUGAUCCAGCGCUGCCGCGUGGAUGAAGAAGGUCUUCGGAUUGUAAAGUCCUUUCGACGGCGACGAUGAUGACGGUACCCGUAGAAGAAGCCCCGGCUAACUUCCUGCCAGCAGCCGCGGUAAUACGAAGGGUGCUAGCGUUGCUCGGAAUGACUGGUCGUAAAGGGCGCGUAGGCGGCGUGCACAGUCAGGCGUGAAAUUCCUGGGCUUAACCUGGCUGCUGCGCUUGAUACAUGCAUGCUCGAGUGUGGAAGAGGGUCGUGGUAUUCCCAGUGUAGAGGUGAAAUU
rnacentral:rRNA from 1 species